rnacentral:lncRNA from 1 species
AUCUCAAAAACUCCCACUGAACCUAAAAUUCUACUUUUUGAGACCUUAACCCACUUAAACCUCAAUAUCCCUCAAUUCAAUCGUUAGAUCAAGCUGAAAUGCACGACACAUAUUAAAUACAACUAUAACCAUAAACCCACAAAAUUUCACUAGUAGAUCUAUUACAAAACUCUUGAAAUCACCCAAAACGUAAAUCCUAUUUUAUUUCAUAAAAUCUAAGUCAUCCGAAACAAACCUCAACUUUGCAAACCUCUUACAAAGUCAUAUCAACUCCAAAUCAUCCAAAAUAUACGUUUAUAGAAAGCCUAUUUAGUGUGAUAUCAAAUCUCACUCUCCAAUUUCCAAAAGAACCUCGAAGUCGUCGUUGAGACUUAGUUUUUUUGCCCCAGGGUUUGAUUUCGACCCUGGUUCAUAACCGGCCCUCUCCGGGCAUCAAUAUCUAGUUUUUCUAAGUAACUUUUUUCUAGAAUUUAUUCUUAACUUUCUUCUAAAGAUGCUUAUAUCAUUUAUUUUCCCAAUCUACUUUGAUUUGCCUUACUUAUGGUACUACAAAGUAAGUAGAAGUCACCUUUCUAAAA